rnacentral:pre_miRNA from 1 species
AUUCUACUCCCUCCGUUGCACAAUACAUGCCUUCUAUUUGUCAAAAUAUAUAUGUAUCUAGACAUGUUUUAGUAUAUAGGUACAUCCAUUUCUGGACAAAUGGAAGUCAAGUAUUUUGGAACGGAGGGAGUACACA